GGUGCGUAGCGCGUAUGCAAUCUACCUUUUACAGAGGGAUAGCCCAGAGAAAUUUGGAUUAAUACCUCAUAGUAUAGUGACUCGGCAUCGAGAUACUAUUAAAGUCACAACGGUAAAAGAUGAGCAUGCGUCCCAUUAGCUAGUUGGUAAGGUAACGGCUUACCAAGGCUACGAUGGGUAGGGGUCCUGAGAGGGAGAUCCCCCACACUGGUACUGAGACACGGACCAGACUCCUACGGGAGGCAGCAGUGAGGAAUAUUGGACAAUGGGCGCAAGCCUGAUCCAGCCAUGCCGCGUGCAGGAUGACGGUCCUAUGGAUUGUAAACUGCUUUUGUACGAGAAGAAACACUCCUACGUGUUGGAGCUUGACGGUAUCGUAAGAAUAAGGAUCGGCUAACUCCGUGCCAGCAGCCGCGGUAAUACGGAGGAUCCAAGCGUUAUCCGGAAUCAUUGGGUUUAAAGGGUCCGUAGGCGGUUUAGUAAGUCAGUGGUGAAAGCCCAUCGCUCAACGGUGGAACGGCCAUUGAUACUGCUAAACUUGAAUUAUUAGGAAGUAACUAGAAUAUGUAGUGUAGCGGUGAAAUGCUUAGAGAUUACAUGGAAUACCAAUUGCGAAGGCAGGUUACUACUAAUGGAUUGACGCUGAUGGACGAAAGCGUGGGU
rnacentral:rRNA from 1 species